rnacentral:rRNA from 1 species
ACGCGUGGAACCUUACCAGGUCUUGACAUCCUCUGACACUCCUAGAGAUAGGACGUUCCCCUUCGGGGGACAGAGUGACAGGUGGUGCAUGGUUGUCGUCAGCUCGUGUCGUGAGAUGUUGGGUUAAGUCCCGCAACGAGCGCAACCCUUGAUCUUAGUUGCCAGCAUUAAGUUGGGCACUCUAAGGUGACUGCCGGUGACAAACCGGAGGAAGGUGGGGAUGACGUCAAAUCAUCAUGCCCCUUAUGACCUGGGCUACACACGUGCUACAAUGGAUGGUACAAAGGGCAGCAAAACCGCGAGGUCGAGCAAAUCCCAUAAAACCAUUCUCAGUUCGGAUUGCAGGCUGCAACUCGCCUGCAUGAAGCUGGAAUCGCUAGUAAUCGCGGAUCAGCAUGCCGCGGUGAAUACGUUCCCGGGCCUUGCACUCACCGCCCGU